AGUGAACGCUGGCGGCAGGCCUAAUACAUGCAAGUCGAACGGCAGCACAGUGGAGCUUGCUCCAUGGUGGCGAGUGGCGGACGGGUGAGGAAUACAUGGGAAUCUGCCCAGUCGUGGGGGAUAACGUAUGGAAACGUACGCUAAUACCGCAUGCGCCCUUCGGGGGAAAGUCGGGGACCGCAAGGCCUGACGCGAUUGGAUGAGCCCAUGUUCGAUUAGCUAGUUGGCGGGUAACGGCCCACCAAGGCGACGAUCGAUAGCUGGUCUGAGAGGAUGAUCAGCCACACUGGAACUGAGACACGGUCCAGACUCCUACGGGAGGCAGCAGUAGGGAAUAUUGGACAAUGGGCGCAAGCCUGAUCCAGCCAUGCCGCGUGAGUGAAGAAGGCCCU
rnacentral:rRNA from 1 species